rnacentral:rRNA from 1 species
UACGUAGGGGGCAAGCGUUGUCCGGAUUUACUGGGCGUAAAGCGCGCGCAGGCGGUCUUCCAAGUCAGUGGUGAAAGCCCGGAGCUCAACUCCGGAAUUGCCAUUGAAACUGUGAGACUGGAGUACGGGAGAGGUGAGUGGAAUUCCCAGUGUAGAGGUGAAAUUCGUAGAUAUUGGGAAGAACACCGGUGGCGAAGGCGGCUCACUGGCUCGUAACUGACGCUCAGGCGCGACAGCGUGGGGAUCAAACAGG